rnacentral:rRNA from 1 species
AACGAACGCUGGCGGCAUGCCUAACACAUGCAAGUCGAACGAGACCUUCGGGUCUAGUGGCGCACGGGUGCGUAACGCGUGGGAACCUGCCUUUAGGUUCGGAAUAACUCAGAGAAAUUUGAGCUAAUACCGGAUAAUGUCCUCGGACCAAAGAUUUAUCGCCUUUAGAUGGGCCCGCGUAAGAUUAGCUAGUUGGUGGGGUAAAGGCCUACCAAGGCGACGAUCUUUAGCUGGUCUGAGAGGAUGAUCAGCCACACUGGGACUGAGACACGGCCCAGACUCCUACGGGAGGCAGCAGUGGGGAAUAUUGGACAAUGGGCGAAAGCCUGAUCCAGCAAUGCCGCGUGAGUGAUGAAGGCCUUAGGGUUGUAAAGCUCUUUUACCCGAGAUGAUAAUGACAGUAUCGGGAGAAUAAGCUCCGGCUAACUCCGUGCCAGCAGCCGCGGUAAU